UAAGGAAUAUUGGUCAAUGGACGCAAGUCUGAACCAGCCAUGCCGCGUGAAGGAUUAAGGCCCUCUGGGUUGUAAACUUCUUUUAUAGGGGAAGAAAUGUGACGGUUCUCCGUCACUUGACGGUACCCUGGGAAUAAGCACCGGCUAACUCCGUGCCAGCAGCCGCGGUAAUACGGAGGGUGCAAGCGUUAUCCGGAUUCACUGGGUUUAAAGGGUGCGUAGGUGGGCAGAUAAGUCAGUGGUGAAAUCCCCGAGCUUAACUUGGGAACUGCCAUUGAUACUAUAUAUCUUGAAUACCCUAGAGGUAAGCGGAAUAUGUCAUGUGGCGGUGAAAUGCUUAGAUAUGACAUGGAACACCAAUUGCGAAGGCAGCUUACUAUGCGGUGAUUGACACUGAGGCACGAAAGCGUGGGUAGCAAACA
rnacentral:rRNA from 1 species